rnacentral:rRNA from 1 species
GAUUUGCCGCUGCUUCACUGCAGUCGAACGGAAAGGCCCGCUUGCGGCUACUCGAGUGACGAACGGCGAGUAACACGUGGGUAACCUGCCCCCAUCUCUGGGAUAACCGUUGGAAACGGCGGCUAAUACCGGAUACGACCACUAGGUGCAUGCUUGGUGGUGGAAAGUUUUUGCGGUUGGGGAGGGGCCCGCGGCCUAUCAACUUGUUGGUGCGGGAGUGGCGCACCAAGGCGAUGACGGAUAGCCGGCCUGAGAGGGAGGUCGGUCACAUUGGGACUGAGAUACAGCCCAGACUCCUACGGAAGGCAGCAGUGGGGAAUUUUGCACAAUGGGCGAAAGCCUGAUGCAACGACGCCUCGUGAGGGAUGACGGCUUUCGGGUUGUAAACCUCUUUUAUCCACCACGAAAGCAGUGUAUUCUCAUCGUUGACGGUAGUGGUUGAAUAAGCACCGGCUAACUACGUGCCACCAGCCGCGGUAAGACGUAAGGCGCGAGCGUUGUCCGGAUUUAUUGGGCGUAGAGGGCUCGUAGGCGGUUGAUUGCGUCCGCCGUGAAAGGCCUCGGCUUAACCGGGGUUUUGCGGUGGAUACGGGUCGACUUGAGGCAAUUAGGGGAGAUCGGAAUUCUACGUGUAGCGGGAAAUGCGAAAAAAUUAGAACCCCCAAUUUGCCUCAGUCGACCGGUUUCCCCGAAAUCUGGGUAAGUGCAGAUCUUUUCCGGGGGAGAUUAAA